GGCGGGCGGUAGUUCAGCGGUAGAGCGUCGGCCUUGCAUGCAGAAAGUCCCGGGUUCAGACUUCUCUGGGAUCUGACA